UGAGGCAGGAGAAUUGCUUGAACCCAGGAGGUGGAGGGUGGAGUGAGCCGAGAUCGCGCCACUGCACUCCAGCCUGGGUGACAGAGCGAGACUCCGUCU
rnacentral:miRNA from 1 species